rnacentral:lncRNA from 1 species
AGCGAGAAAAGAAGCCAGCAAUCGAAAGCCCAAGCUUCCAAAAAUCCGCUUCCAAUUCGCGAAACUACACUAGUCGUAAGCGCCAAAUCCAACCGACGAUGUCGCUGAUCCGCCGCAGCAACGUGUUCGACCCCUUCUCCCUCGACCUCUGGGACCCCUUCGACGGCUUCCCCUUCGGCUCCGGCGGCAGCAGCAGCGGCAGCAUCUUCCCGUCCUUCCCGCGCGGCGCCUCCUCCGAGACCGCGGCCUUCGCCGGCGCGCGGAUCGACUGGAAGGAGACGCCCGAGGCGCACGUGUUCAAGGCGGACGUGCCGGGGCUGAAGAAGGAGGAGGUCAAGGUGGAGGUGGACGACGGCAACAUCCUGCAGAUCAGCGGCGAGCGCAACAAGGAGCAGGAGGAGAAGACGGACCAGUGGCACCGCGUGGAGCGCAGCAGCGGCAAGUUCCUCCGCAGGUUCCGCCUCCCCGACAACGCCAAGCCGGAGCAGAUCAAGGCGUCCAUGGAGAACGGCGUGCUCACCGUCACGGUUCCCAAGGAGGAGGCCAAGAAGCCCGACGUCAAGUCCAUCCAGAUCUCCGGCUAGGCAUCGCCGGCGUGCCGCGUGCGCGACGGAGAGGAGCACGGCGGGGUUUUCGCUUUGGCCUGGUUUGUCUGUCGUGAAGGAGCAAAUAAAAUCGGGUCCGGUUGAGUCCAGUGUGUGUCCGUGUCUGUCUUGAACAGUCGUGUGUCGCGUCGUGUCACUGGGUCAGUGUGUUGUUCCAGUGCGCCGUUCAUCAGCCGAUCAGCGUCUGUACCGGUCUUUUGCAACUAGUUAAGUGAUGAAUACUAUAAUCUGUUAAUACGUGAUCUGUCUGAUGCAUUCUGUGCUUUAAUUUGAUUGAGUUUGGGUAUUACUACCUGACAAGAUUAGAAACCAUACAAGCACCUUUCGAAUUUCGUAACUCUCACUGGCGGAUUUAACCCCUCUAGCCGCCAAUGCUCGUUGCCGAAAACCUAAAGUUUUUUUAUAUGUUUUCAAUGAUUGAAGAGUUUUUCUUUAGCAAUAUAUAGAAUUCUGUUUUUUUUCAAUGAUUUAAAAAUAGUUUUUCUUUAGUAAAUGCUCUAUAUAGCUAGAGGCUAGGUUUGGGUUGGACUUUUUCUGUAUCUAUCUAAGAUUAUGGUAGCUUGCAGUGACUUUAGAAUAUUACUCUCUCUGUUCCUUAAUAUAGGGCGUGGCUGUUGUAGUUGCAAAGACCAAUAAAACCGUUUAAAUAUCAGUUACGCUGAUUAAUUCUCUCUGUUCGAAGAGCGACGUUUAGGUAGUUGCGCGGUAGAUACGCUAGCAUUAACCAUCAUGCAGCGUGCGCUCGACCUGUACUUUCCGCGCGAAUAGCCAGCAUGCAUGCAGAUGCAUUUUUGCUAGCGUGCUUUGCUCGCCUGGCAUAACGCCAUGUAUGGAUUGUUUUGAUUCAAAAAUUUGGAAAGCCCCAUGCAUGCAUGCUUGAUCGAAAAUUUGGAUGGCGCCAUCAGCGAUAAAAAAUGAAUAGAAAAUUUUCACUUGGCGCCACUAUUUGCCAGCAAAAUUUUCUCCUAUAAAUAUGGGCAAUGCACCACACAUUUUUUUCCAUCUCUCUUCUUUCCUCCCAUGGUUCAACGUACGUAAUGGCUGGUUUUGAUCUAAAUCUACCCAUCAUCAAUUGGGACGAAGUUGAGGAUUUCGAUGGAGAUAUAUCUGAUUUGAACUAUGACUUUGUUUGGGAUUAUGACAAUGAAGGUGUUCAUAGGAGCUUCUUCUCUUGCUUUGUCUUCUUUUUUUUCUUGUGCAUGUGUGACUAUAAUUUUGUUUCAACGCACAGAUGGUGAAGAUGGCAAUGGCCGCGGCAGUGGCAACGACGGUGGCUGCGACGGCAGCGACGACGAUGGCGGCGGCAGCGGCGGCGGCGGCGAUGACGACGGUGGUGGCGACGACGGCGGCGGUGGCGGCGAUCAAACCACCGAUGGAGCAGUCGAUGCAGGUAAUACACGUUCAUUUUCUUUUUGUUGCUGUGUCUUUUUGCUGCACGAGUUGAAGGCCUUUGCAUGUACACAUGCACAGUGCCAUGCUUAAGCAAACUAGCCGAUGCAUGCCAACCAUAGUAUAGCCUGCACGUUCUCAGCCAUCAUCCACCAUGCAUGUGUAGGUAUCAAUAUCAAGAGGAGGAGACACUACCCUCCUGAUAUGAAACGAGCCAUAUAUGCAUUGUGUUUGGAGAGAUCGGAUCCUGGUAUGAUGAAGGAGGGAGUGACAAAGUCAGUUGCUACUGAUAUGGGGGUUCCAUGGAGAGUUGUUCAGCAUGUAUGGCGACAUGGACAAAUUGGAGGUGGAAUUGAAGCUUUCGAAUCGAAGAAGAAGAAUAACUGUGGCCGCAAGAAACUUUCUUUUAACCCUGAUGCCAUCAAAGAUGUACCGCUUAGGCAACGCCGAACACUCCGUGACCUAGCUAACGCUUUGCAUAUGUCAAAAACCACAUUGUUUAGGCGUUUGAAGGAAGGAAGGUUUAGGCGCCAUACAAAUGCCAUAAAGUUCACCUUGACCGAAGAUAACAUGAAGGCCUGUGUGCAAUUUUGCAUACAAAUGCUUGAUAGCCAAAGCAUACCGGACGAGCCAACUUUCAAAUCUUUGUACAACAUUGUGUAUAUAGAUGAGAAAUGGUUUUAUAGGACAAAGCCGGACGAAAAUUAUUACUUGUCACUUGAUGAACCGAACCCUCGAAGAAAUGUGAAGAGCAAAAAUUUCAUUGAUAAGGUUAUGUUUCUAGCAGCGAAAGCCCGUCCAAGGUUUGAUGAGUAUGGCGAAUGUACAUUUGAUGGAAAAAUUGGGAUUUUUCCCUUCACUUACUGGGAGGCAGCCAAGAGGAGUAGUCGCAGUAGGGAGAGGGGUAAGUUGUUUAAUUAUGCUUAGUUACUCCACAUAUGACAACUCUACUAAUUUUGUUUAAUUGCAUGAUUUAAUACAGGAACCAUGGAGCUCAAGGCCAUGACAUCUGUCACGAGGGACAUUAUCCGGAACUAUCUCAUUGAAAAGGUUUUGCCGGCCAUCAAACAUAAAUGGCCUAAUGAGGAACGAGGACUUCCAAUAUUCAUCCAACAAGACAAUGCAAAGACCCAUAUUGCAGUUGAUGAUCCUGCAUUUUUAAGUGUUGCACAAGAAGAUGGGUGGGAUAUACGACUUACAUGUCAACCACCAAACUCUCCAGAUCUUAAUGUUUUGGAUUUAGGUUUUUUUGCAGCAUUGCAGUCAUUGUUUCAGAAGUCAUCUCCAUCAAACAUCGAAGAAAUUGAGACAAAUGUGAUCAAAGCAUAUGAAGAAUAUCCGGCGAAUAGAUCGAAUCAUGUGUUUCUUACUCUACAAGGGUGCAUGAGAGAGAUUAUGCUUGCAAAAGAAGGGCAGCACUAUGCAAUCCCGCAUAUGAAGAAGAGAUCAUUAGAGAGAAAUGGUCAACUUCCAAUAAGGUUGCAAUGUGAUAAGCAAAUUUAUCUAGAUGCGGUAGAUUUCAUCAAUACAUAGUUAGGAUAUUUCUCUUGUAACUUUGCAUCGUUCAACAAUUAGCAAGAAAAAGAGGAGUAUUCAUGUUUGUUUUUCUCUGAUCUUCACGAAAAAGACAUUGCAUUAAAUUGAAUAGAACAAUCAAGUGCAUACACAUUAGCUAAACCAUCUAGCAAUGACAACAAGCAGCAACAUUGGCACUGAUUAUACCUCUAGUGAAUCAGUUGUUUUUUUCCUCGGCGUUAGUCUCCUCUAGUGAAUCUGCAACAAAUGUGUUGUUGGCCAGUGAGUCAACAACGUACCCAAUGUUGUCAGAGUCAGUGAAACGAUCGGCGCCGGCCAGUGAGUCGACCACGCUGCCCUCUCGGAUUCCGGCAUCCCCUGCCUUCUCUCCGUUGUCACCCUUGCCGUCGUCGGUGUUGCAACAGCGAACGAGCUCUGCUUGCGCUCGCAGCCGCAUGCGAAGGGCAUGCACACGGAGCGUACGAGCAUGAGCGAUAUCCAUCUGCGCCUCCUGCCGCAUGCGGACGGCGGCGUCGCGGAGCACUCGGACACGGCCAAGCUCCACUUGAGCACGACGUCGCAUGAGCACGGCGUGGAGACGAAGUGAUCGCGCGCGGCCGAACUCCACCUGCGCCUGCUGCCGCAUGAGUCGUGUAGAUGCAAUCUUCUCCUCUGUCGUCGCCAUCGUCGGCAUAUGAAGUGUGAGCAGUGUCACAGAGGGGCGGUGUGUGCAGUGAGAGAGAGAGAGGAAGCAGUGAGAGCGAGAGAGAGAGAGGGGCCAGGAGCUGAGCUUUUUAAAAGCCAAACCGAGUCAUCAGUUAAUUCUCUGCAUGCAUCUGCAUGCAUCAGUACAGGAGCCGAGGAGUACUCAUCAAUUCCUGCAUGCACCGAGGAGUUGCCACCCUAUAUUAUGGAAUCCAAUUGAAAAGAAGUUACGCCCUAUAUUAAGGAACGGAGGGAGUACGACUGUAGUAUAAAUGGAUGCUUAACAAGGUUAGAAUUGCCUAAAUAUAGUCUCUGAUGAUCAUUUUCUAUGUUUUUAAGAUAAACGGUUAAAAUAGAAGCAGAAACUAGGAGUGUUUAUGCUAGAGCUCCAGUUUACACGUUGGUUAAAAAAUGUAAAUAAAUAGUACGAGUGCAAAAUGUAAACAAAGUCUCUACUUUUGGUUAAAAAAAGUAUGAGUUCUUAUGCAGGGACUUCAGUUUACAGGUUUUUAUAUAUAUAAAAAAAACCAACGAGACAAUGACCACACCUCAAUUAGGGAUAGUACAGUCAAAAAGAUAAACAUGAAGUGUAGUAAAUUCAACACCUAAAUACACUAAGCUAUCAGGCGGUCAGGCCUAAAGCAAAGAUAACAAAAGUACUAGAGAGUACUGUAGGGAUGUCAGCCCACUCUUCAUGAUUUCAGCCAUCAGGGCCUUUAGGAGCUGUUGUUAAGUAUGAUGCAGAAGGUUCCUCCGUUGUAGAAGAAAUCACGAGAGGUGUUCAUAAUUUUGUUCCUAAAAAUCAUAUCAUUCCUAACAUUGGAAAGGUCCCAACAAGCCUUCGCAAGUAAACCUAAUAUUUGCUUUUUCAAUAAUUUAACAUCCCCAAUGUUUGGCUUAGUUGUGAAAUAAGUCAAACAUCAUAUUGCAAACCAGAAGUAAUUUGUUAAUAAAACUUUUAUAUACGUGUUCUUAGCGACUUAAAAGCGAAGGCCGAAAAAUAUAGUCCGAUAUUAAAAAAAAAACCUAAAAUCAGCUUCAAAUUUAAAAUUAAAAAAAGAAUCAAAUUUUGACUGAUAAGUAUAAGUAUAGAUGAAAAGAUGAGACGUUUUCCUUUAAUAACUACUUAAUAUAGUUAGAAUUGUCUGGGCUAUUUUUUUUAUCUACCAACUCUGUGUUUAUUACUUGUGCAUUUAAAACCCACACAGAAAAGCCCUCACAAUGUGGCACUAGUUUUAGUUAACUUGUUUCACUGAUGAAUUAGCAAAGCUUAGUUAACAAAAACUAAGCCCCUAAGCAAGUACGCUCAUCGACUCAUUAUCUAGUAACCCUACGCACAUGAGUGUUUAGUUGAGUGAUAAACUUUGUCAUGCUUGGACCAUUCCUUUGACUAGUAUUCGGCUACAACUGUAGUGUGUCACACUUUCUUUUAAAAGAAAGGUCUUGUUCGAUAGCCCUAAACUAUAGCGUUUUUUGCUGUGCAGGACUGUGCUGCACAGCCCAGCCGAACGGCUACAUUCGGCAAUCUGCUGUAUCAUGUGAAGCUCAACCGAAUUGCUACAGCCGGCCAUCUGUUGUAUCAUGUGAAGCGUGUCCCACCGCAAUUGGCCAACAGUUAUAACUGUUAUUUGCAGUGCUGCAGCUGCUAGGCCUACCGAACAUGUUGAAAUUAGGCCCACUUGUUAUUGGUGGUUACUAACAAUUAUUUUAAGGAUUAUAUUUGAAACAAUAGGAAGUAAUGUAUACAAAUAUUAUAUUUAUGGUGUGCCAUAUUUUUAAAAGAAAUUAGGCCCACUCUCUCCUAGGUGGUUGCUAAUAAUUAUUUCAAGGAUAUUAUUUGAAAACAUAGGAAUUAAUGUAUAUAAAUAUUUUAUUUGUCAAACAGGUACACUCAUUUAGCCAAUAUCAUAAAAGGAAUGUUAUACAUGCGUCAUUAUUUACAACAAAUUCCAAAAUGAUACCUAGUGGGAAUAUGUGCUAAGGGCCAACAUAUUAUAAAAAGGGCCCCAUUGCCCUCUUCCCCUCAUCCAACUCCAUCGCCCUGGCGUGCAACCAAGUUGCAUAUUCCCCUUGCUCUCCUUGUCAUCCCUCUCAAUAAGGCAACGCCGGAUGUAGAUCUAGAAGCGGAGGACCUCAAUUGAGCGCAAGCUAUUCUAGAUCUGAACAACGUAAGUACUCUAUUUGGUUUUUAUCUUCUCCUUCUCCCUCUGUGUUGUAGUGGAUCUAGAUCUAGGGUUCGUUCUAUUUGGUGACAUUAUCCUUCCUCAUGGUGACGCACCCUAAUCUAAGGGAGCAUCACAAGUGAAAUGGUGUGUGCUAAACAACACGAUGGUCGUCGGUUGGUGAUAGUGAAAUCGAUGAUGACAAAGGUGGGGAAGACUAAGAGAGGUUUUGUAGGUGGGUUAAAUUGCAUGUUUUGUCUAUUUGAUUUAUGCAAUGCAAGUAGACAACCAUUUGAAUGUUAAUUUCACCCCCAAGUGCUUUUGGGUAGUUCCGGUUGUUAGUCCUCUUCGGACCAUCCUGGUCAUUUUGCACAACAGUAUAAGUGAGCCUUUUCUAUUAUACGUGUAUUCGUUAAUCUUCAAGUGCGCUAUUUGAUUCAAAAUUGUUACACCCCCAAAUCGUUUAGGUUCGAUUUCAAACAUCCUUUUGAAAUAGCACAAAAAAAUUGCUACUAAUGCACAUAUGCCUAAGUAAUUACACAUUACCUUUUGCUUUAAAAAAACUUUACAUUUGAGUCAUUUGAGUCAGACUUUAACCUUUUCCAUUCAGCCUUGAGUGCUGAUGGUUAUGGCGGACUAGUAGCCAUAGACCAUAGCUGACCAAUACAUGCAAGAUAUUUCUAGCUAUACGGAGGAUAGACAUCCGAAUUAUCCAUUCACUCGAUAUUUCAAGUAUAAUAUAUAGUUUAUAUUUAAACUUAUGUUAGGGAACAAACCAAAAUGCUCAAGUGCCCGAUUCACGAAAAUAUUAUUCGUAGUGGUUGUGUGUGGAUCAUGAGUUCAUCACCUAUUUGCCAUUCUUUGUGAUCUCUGAAAGCUUGAGCCACCAUGGCCUUAUGCGGCUGUGAUCUCAUCCCUCGUGUGACCCCUUAUGCUCUUGCAGUCUAGCCCAGUGCGUCGCUUGCCAAUCCUCAAGCUUCAUUGAAUGCAAAAGAGGGCUUUGUGAACUCCAAAGUUGUGCUUCCUCCACGCCUUUAAUUCUCCAAACACAACUUCCAUAUGGUUGGUGGCACCACAGAGUGAUUGGUUUUGUGCAUCGCACAUAUGGCUGUGGCAUAGUGUUGACAAAAAAAAAUCGAACACACUGGCCUGGGAGAUCUGCUUAGCUCCUGUACAGGUCUAAAAAUUGAUGAGAUGUGGGCGUGCCAGUCAGUUUGAUCCUGCAACUGACAAGAUAUGCAAAUAGUAGAUCAAAACAGCCGAUCAACUGACAAGCCGAUGGAGUAGUUCCAGCCGAUAGCCGAUAACAGCCGAUGCCGAUACCAGCCGAUAGAGAUAGGGUUUAAGCAAUCGGCUAUAUGUCCAAUGUAGAUAAUGAUAUAAAGGCAAUCGGCUGAUGAUGCUAUAAUAAAAUAACAAUAUAGUCAUGUAUAAACCAAUCGGUUAGCAAUGAUAUGAUAAAUAAGCAUCGAUCCGAGGGUUAAAGCACACAUCGGCUGGAGGUCCGAUAUCAUGAAAUCCAUAAGAUUAGAUUAAACAGUGAAACCUUUGUUGUCAUCGGCUAAAUCCAACUUAUAUGUAUAUGCAAUCCUUAUGAGCCGAUGCAACAUCCAGAUAACUCACCAGCUGAAACCCCGAUGAAACCCUUAUUGGCAAUCAAGAGGCAGGCUAGAGAUUAUGGUUCUAAGCACGACUUAGUAGAUCAAACUUAACUGAUACAACACUAAGUAUGAAAAGAAACACAAUAUCUAGACAAUCAAGCCGAUGACUGAUUUUCAGGGUGGUAGAUGUCUAAGCUAAACUAAUCUAGCAAUGCGAUUUAGCCAAUACCGGCAGAAACCCUAAAACGAGAAGCAGCCGAUAGAGCUAAAUUGAUAUGCUAAGACUAUAUUAACAGAGACAUAUGAUAAAUAGGUAGGCAAAUAUAUCAUUCAAACCAGAUCAAUCCAAGAGGUCGAAUGUACUGAUGCAGCCUUGAAUGACGCCGACGUAGACGAUACAAUUGCCUGGACCGACGGAACAUUGGACUUAUCCCUUCGCCAGAGAUCGAAGACGAUGCAGCCUCGCGUCGGGUGCCAAGUUUCGCCGGAACGUAAAAACAAAAGUAGAAAUAAAAAGGGUGGCGAUGCGCCGAAUUGUAUUGAUCGUGGAGAUAGAUUACAUAGACCCCGGGUGUACAUAUUUAUACCCAUAGGUUGAUACAAUUCCUUGUCGGACAAGAAAGAAACUAACCUAAAGAUAAAAGGAAAAUAUAAAGUCCUUAUCGGACACUAAACACACUUUCCUAAAGAUAAAAGGAAACUAACAAACUAUUCCUAAUUAAUAGAUAAACUGCCAUGCCGCAUCCUCUUUAAACUCGGUCACUUAGGGAUAAGCUUCCUUUAGUAGAUUGAUUUCCUUAACCGAAUAUAGCAGGAAUUCGACUAUUGGCGACUUGAUAACUCCCAUCAGCUGAUUCCGAGAUGCUGCAACCGAUAAUGAUUCUAAGCCGAUGACGUCUUUGCCGAUUACCAAAUUUUACUGUUAACACAUAGGGCUCCUUGUGUCGUGUGUGCAUGUCUCUCAUCAGCUCUGAGCUAUGCGGUGAUAAUGUUGCCUUGCUACUGCGCGGCCACUUAACAACCAUAGGCCGGUCUCAUCCCACAACAUGCUUGAUGGAUUGGGUGGCCAGGUGUACACCGGGGUACUGGCCCCUACAACUUAUAUCUGAAAAUCUAGUAAGUGGGUCCGGGGUCUAGUUUCUGGUCACUUUCACUUAUAGUUGAAAAUCUAGUAAAAAAAAUGUUGUCACCUCUAUAGCUUAUUCUAAAUGAUUCCAUGAGCAUCCUUGAGAAAAUGUUAACUUUGGAGCUCCGAUCAGAUAACGACUUUCACUGCACUAUGUUGUUGCAUUUUCUACUGGUUUCCUUACUCCUCCGACCCUUAAGUGUUUACUAAAUGUUUAUGCAGUUGAAGCAACUAUGGUGGAGAAUCAUGUGUCAAAAGAGGAUUCAAAGAAUUAUAAAUUGAGGAUGGGCUUUGUGGUAAAAAAAAUCCAUCUUCUUAAAUAUCCUUGUUGUGGUACUUGUCGUUAGUUUCCGGACAAAUAAAAAGGCAUAUGUUAGAAGAAAAAUAAUAUUUUGUUUGAGCCUUGAUCAGAUAUAGAUCUGGUGUUUUAUGACGCGAUUAGUUGAUUCCUACCUUUAGUUGCACGAAAGAGUUAGCUUGCCGAUUUUGCAUAUAGAAUCUUCUCCGUGGCAUAUCAGCUCUAAAUUGUAAAUCUAUUUUCAUCCAAUAUAACAAAACUUACAUUCUUUAUGCAGGAUGGCCAUAUUUGUGCAAUUUGUGAUGAUGGUGGUAAUUUGAUACGGUAUGCCUAUUCUUUGUCUAGUUAUCCUAUUUCUUUUUCAUAUAUUUGUUUAGUUGUACUAUUUUUUCCCCUUUGUUAUUGUUCUCUUAUUUAAGGCACUAAACCGAUAGUGUGGAUUGUACUUGAUAGGGUGAUGGAUAAAAUUAAUACUAGAGUUGUUUUACUGUCUAAGGCAUUGUAGUUUAGGCUCACUGGACAAUGGAUUGGAACAUAGUUGAUAGGAUGAUGGGUAUUAGAUUUGUGUUUGAGACGAUGUCCUCAUAUAGAUUGAAGACAUUCAACCUUGAGUUUUCCAGAUCACACUGAGUAGGUUUUGGCAAAUUUUCCCUUCUAUUUACUCUCUUGAUCAACACACGUGUUCCUGUUUUUGUUGUCAUGUUACUGUUAUAUUUUCAAGAGCCUUACCAUUCGCUGAGAAAACAAUACUUAUAGAUGUUAUUAUUGUAAAUAUUGAAAUUCUGAAAUUAAAAUCAUAAGAAAGUAUUUUUAAAUAUAAAUCCAUUGAUGCCACUUGUAUGGUGCUGAACAUAGAUAUUGGAAGCUUAACUUUUUUUUUGUCAAAAAUAACAAAUGUUGAUAUUUCUGAAUACACGUGUGCCCUAUAUUUCCAACAGCGGGAGUAAUAUCAAAAAUCAUAAAGUUAUUGGGUUUUAUAAAGUAUCAUAAUGUAAAAUUACUGGUGAAAGUUUUUAAAGUUUAACCGAAUCUUGUUCUGAACGCCAAAUAUUUAUGACCGGAGCGAGUACUAGGUAGACAAUUUUCCCAUAUGCCAUAAUUCUUGUAGAUUUUGGCUGCAAAAGGCUCAAGGUUUUUGCUUUUUAUUGUACUAAAACUAUCAGGGUAAAGCGCUUUAUGCGUUCAAUUUAUUUUAAUAUUAUGAUACUUGAUUAUUGUAGCUGUGAGGGUGCCUGUCGAAGGUAUUUCCACCGAACCAUUUCCAAUGAUGCAGAUUUUAACUGUGAAACUCUCAACAUGAGUCAAGAACAAGUGGUAAGUGCAUAUUCCUUUGCCUCUUCAACUUAUUCUUGUUUAAGUAUUCCAGUAUUGCCAUUUACCAUUAAUAUUUUUCAACAAUAUAGGAAUCAUCAAAGUUCAUAUGCAAGAACUGUGUGUAUAAGCAACACCAAUGCUUUGGUUGUGGAGAGUUGGGAUCCUCUGACAUGUCAUCGGGUUCAGCUGAGGUAUGUAUAAGAAAAAGAAACUUUGUAUGUCCUUGGGAUACUUCCUCUUGUAUUUGGUAUUUCCUUGAUUUAUCAUUUUGUUUUUCAAUUUUCUUAUGGAAUUGAAUUAAGGCACUGCUUGAAAGCAAUUUUUAGGGAUGGCUAGGAGUCAAUGAUAACUUUGAGGAAUCUGAGAGCGAUACUUUGGAAUUGUAUACACAUUAAAGUUCAAGAACUUUUUUUUUGUAUGUGCUCGUCAGCAUAAACCAAUUUCCUUUAAAUUCCAACUUUUCCUUCACUUUUUGUUAGGUAUAUCAGUGCAGUAAGAGCAGAUGCAGACGCUUUUACCAUCCUAAGUGUCUUGCUGAAUUUGACUCUAGUAAGAACCCACCAGUUUUUGAAUGCCCCCUGCAUGAAUGCUUUGCAUGCAAGAACAAAGGGGAAAAAUAUAACGAGGAAACAUGCAAGAACAAGGGGCAGGAGAGUAUCAAGAAAAAACAAGGGGCGGAAAACAACAAGAAAAUGCACCUGGCAUUAUGCAGGCGAUGUCCAAUAGCAUACCAUCGCAAGUGCUUGCCCAGGUGUGAUAUGUAUUUGGCACUAUUUGCUAGUGAUAGUGCCCUUCUAAAAGGAUAUUUUGUUGACACGGUGUUCUCUUUUUUAGGAAUAUUUCCUCUGUUCCCAAAGGUUGUCUUCCAAGGAAAUGGAAAACUAAUAAGGGCCAAGUUUUCUUCUAUUGCCUGUAAGCUUUUUGCACUUCAUCCUUUUUGUUAGCAUAUGUUCUCCAUCUCCACUAUAUUCGUGGAACUUAUUAUUCACAUAGAACUUUUUCAGAAAGCAUACGAUGGUAGAACAUCUCAGAAGUGCAACAAGGGAUCACCUCAAAUUUCCAAAAGUUAUGGAAGAGCACAUGCAGAAGUAUGUUCCCAAAAGAGAAGUUGAAAACAAAAAACUUAUUGUUUAUGUUAGGAAACGACAUAGAGGUGCAUCUAAGAAACAAGGAGCUUCCAUGGUGGAAGAAGUUGAUCAUGGGACCAUGGAAAGUGAUCAUGUUCAGAGAAGUAGAGAUAUUAAUCUGCGAGCACAUGAACAAACCGAAGCACCUCGAAACUAUAUGUCUGACCGUAACACAAGCACUGGUUUCGUGUUGUCUUUUGCACCUAAGUCCUUGUUCCCACUCCCAUAUCCAGGCAAUUGUGGUUGGCUUGAUGAUUGAUUCAUGAUAGUAUUUCAGAAAGAAAACUGAAGAUUUUUAAGUUUCAUGUAUGGCAGAUAACUUUGUCUGUAGCAUGUAACACCGUUGUGUUGAUGUUCGUGAUGGUAGUUAAUUACUGGUGACUGUUGAGUAUAAAUGUCUGGAUACUGUGGCAGCGACAUUCCUUCCAUUGUCAGGAAUGAGGAUAUAUUAAGUACUAUUAUCACUGUAUGAAAUGUUUUUCGCGAACGCCUGUAUGAAAUGUUAUUAAAAUGCUUCUGUUCAUACCUAGGUGAAACAAUGCACUAAUGUGUAAUGCAGGUAUGUAACUCUCUGUUGGGCAGCUUUGCUCUGGCCUCUGAGACUGGGAGUGUGGCUGUUUCCCUACAAUGGUGAAUCGGUGAUGCAGGUCACAGCCUUGCAUCUUGCCGAUUUGUCCAGCUCAUUUGAGGUGACGGAUAUGGUGGAUUUUGCUGUGUGUUCAUUGUUUAUGCAGUACUGGUUCCUCCAAUUAUUUUCAUAAUUUUCUUUUCUGUUACGGGCCGGCGGAAGCUGCCGUGACCGUGGAUAGCUUGAUUUCCAGUGGACAAGGGAGUAUAGGUGGACUGUCAAUUGCAAGUUUGCCAGUGGGAAACUCCAGUAACUAAUGCAUGCCUCAGAAAGCAUUCAGUUGAGAUGGCAUGAUGAAAUUAUUAUUUUUUGCAAACUAGAUGAGGAGAUGACGUGAUAGCCUAUUUAAGCGAAAGCGAUCGGGUUGUAGUCCACAUUACGCAGAAGCAGCAGUAAAAAAACAGUGUCUACCUCCGUCAGCCGGAAUAAUGGCCAGCAACAGGGAAGUUCUACAGGUGGUAACAUGCUGUGACGGUGUAUCUAAUUGGGUUUAUAUUCUAAGUUUGACACUGAUGUCUGCUAAUUUUAGAAAGGAAUACACGUGGGCACGUCUUGGUGGUUACAUGGAUGCUCAUACUCUAGCGGGUGUUUGAUACGUUUGACGGUAUUCAUGUAUGCGAACGACACACAUACUUAAAAAAAUUUCCCUCUUAGAAAAAGAAAAGAAUUGUCUGAAGAGGAUUAGAUAAGUCAUAAACCGCGGUGAAGUGGCAGCUUGACCCACUAGCAAUCGCGCACAGCCGCACGGUUGUUAUCAUCAAAGAUUCAAAGCUGAAGCCUUCAACCAGGGCAAUCUCCAUUUUCCACUCCCGGCCGGGUCGGAGUCGCGCGACGACGCCACCAAGGCACCAACUCCACGUCUCCGCCCCUUCCGGUUAAUUCGCUCCUACGCGCACCCACACCACCACCACGCCAUGGCGUGGGAGUAACGCGCGCCCGCUCCACACCACCGACCCGUGGCAACGUUUCUCAUCUGGCAUCCGGCUGUCACGUUUUCCCGUUCGCUACAGCCCGCAAACUCGGGGUUUCCCCGUCACGCCAGCCGCCCAAGCACAACUGCACAGCAGCGGGGACUCCGCCGGUGUGCGCCGACGCGAGCCGCAUCAACCAGUUACCGCCACCCGCGCGGCAACGGCAGCGGCCGCGGCAGCGAAUCGGGGCCAGGGCAAGGGCCAAUCCAUCCUCACCAACCGCACCACCACCACCACCACCACCACCGCAACCGAACAAAACUCGGGGAGGCCGCAGAAUAAAGGCGAGGAGGCAGUAUACCGGCGCGGCUGGCCUAGUGUAGUGCGCGCUGUACUGUUCCCACGUCGCGUCGAGGCAUCGGUUCGAGCGAGCGCGCGCGCGACGCGGGCGAGGCUCCGGCUCGAUUCCGUCGCCACCCUGUGACAGCAGCAGCCACCGCCCACCGCCGCCGCCGCUUUCUGGAGGCUUCCCGUUGGCUCGUGGUUGCGGGGGGACUCGCGGAGUCGCGGUUGCGAGUUGGCUGCCUGCUACUCUGCUAGUGUGCUAAGCCUGCCUUUUAGUUAGUCUGGGAGCACGCUACUGCUACUUUCCCCAAUCCAAUCCAAUCCAAUCCAAUCCUCGCCGGCGUUGGUUCGCUCGAUCGGCGCGGCGCGGAUGGAGACGCUCAGGAAGCAGGCCAGCAAGCUCAGGGAGCACGUCGCCAAGCAGCAGCAGGUACGGGUUCCUUUGCCCAAUUCCAGUGGCUCCGUCUCCCCACUAUGCCACCACCACCGAUCAGCGCGUGGCCCGAUGCGCGGCUAAAAAACCGGAAUUUGGGAGUGCGGGGAGCUGCGUGGUCGGGUUACUGGAGUUCUUGUUUGCUCCCCGCAGUUAAUUCCGCAUACCUAGUGGUAGGAAUCAGGGUAGGGAGUGGCGAGUGCUUGGGUUGGGAUAGCAGCAGGCCAGCAGUUGGUGGAAGGAGCUGAACAUGAACUGCUCAUUUGCUGCGCAUUUCUGUAUAUCAGAUGAUUUGUUCCGAAGCUUGAGUUUCACUUGUUCCAGUAGAUGUGCUUGUUUGGUAACUAAUAACAGAAUUCCUUGUGAUUACAGGCUGUUCGGAAGCAGUUCAGUGCACGCUAUAACCAGGAUCCUUCUCUUGUCGAUGAGGCGGAACUUGAGUGCCACCAGAAUCUUCAGAGGCUAUACAACAGUACAAGAGCUGCUAAAGUAUGUGCUCCAACUGUUUGUUAUAUGUGAUAUAAGAAAGUUGUCUAGCUCAUGAUGUAAAAGUUAUUGGGCAUAUGUCUCAUUGUAUAGCAUUUCCAACGAAGUAUUGUACGAGGUGUCGAGGGUUUCAUUGCUGUCAGCACCAAACAGAUGGAGAUUGGUAACUGUUACCAUGGAAUAUCUGUUCAACAUCCUUCCAAAUUUUAUAAUUUUUGUGUGAUCACGUUGCGAUGUUUCUUCCUGUAGUGAAAAAGCUAGCUGAGGAUUGUUGCAGAUAUGGAAACGACAAUCAAAAUUUUGGUUUUAUUCUUGCAAGGGCUUCAGUUGAGUUUGGUAAUUCCCAUAGCCAAAUGGAGAAAGAGCGGGAGAAUCUUCUUAAAUUUCUUGGAGAGCAGGUGCUGUCAUAUUAUCAUUUUCCUCUCUUUCUUAAGUUUUCAGAACCAAGCAAAAACAAAUACAUUGCAACAUGCAACGGAUAUUUAAAUAAAUAUAUCAUAAAUUGUAUACUCAAAAAGCUUUAUAUAAAUCCUAGAGGAAAACAUAUAUAAUCUGCAAGCACACAUCAAUCCCUAAAUAGCAUCAUUAUAAGCAACAUGCACUUAUUUUCUAAAAAAACACAUGCACAGAUGUUAUGCUUAUCCUCAAAACAUCCCACUAACUCAAGAUGUGGUGUGCGAUGGCACUUACUAUCACCAACACCACUAACUUAUUUUAUAUUGCAUAGAAAUUUCAAUGCUGCCUAGAAUCUUGUUUAAUGUUCUUAACCUGAAUCUUCUAGGUUUCCAUAUAUUUUUCUUUUUGUACCCUUGACCCUUGAGUUACCUGAAAUUAAAUGGUGUUCUCCUGAAAGUAACAAAACAGUGUAAAAAACAAUUGGUGGAUUCUACUCCAAGAGUACAUAUUAUAUAUGGAAGUUUGCUACAAACAGAAACUUAUUCAGCUUUGCUGAUGCUUGAUAUUUAAGUUGAUGGACGUAGCAUAGUUUGUUUAUGCAGUGCAUGGAGCUGGAGGGAAUUUUUUUUUAUUGCUGUGUAAAACUGAGUGCCUUAAUUGCUUCAUUUCGGCUCCAAUCUUGCAGGUUUUUGAGCCUCUUCGAGAAAUGAUAAUGAGUGCUCCUCUUGAAGAUGCCCGCCUGUUAACUUACCGUUAUCAACGGAUCAGACAAGAUAUGGAAUCUCAGGUAAUUACCCGAAGUGAGACUUCCUGUUCACCAGAGAUGACAACCAGAUACUAAAAAUAAAUUUUAUUAGAUAGCUGAUGUGAUGAGAAAGCAACUGAAGUCCAAGGAGAGUAGCGGUAAUGCAGAUAAUUCUGUGAAACUGCAACAUGCAGAAUCAAAAUUAUCUGAGCUCCGAACUACAUUAUCAGCAUUAGGAAGAGAGGCAACUGCAGCUAUGGAGGCUGUGGAGGUUCAGCAACAACAGGUUACCUUUGACCGUCUCCUUGCAAUGGUAUGAUAAGCCUCACUGUUCUCAUAAAAAUAUUGCUUAACAUCAUCAAAUAAUAUGUUUUUGCCAAUGGUUAAGACUUCAUGUACAUGGCAAGUUGAGCCUAUCCAUCGUAACAACAUGGCUAUUUCUCUUUUGCUUUGAGUAUGGUGUAACCAAUACAUGUACACCAUUAGGGGUAGAAAACUGUAGACAUCAAGGUCACAAUAACCUUUGGGUUCUGAGCAGAAUUGGUGUUUGUGGCCAUGUUUGGAUGUUGCUUUUUUUUUUUCCCUGUCAACCCCAAUGUGCAGGCCCCUUUGUUAGUUAGAGCAUAUCUUUGCAAUAUGUUGACCCAUAAUCCUAGAAGUUUCUGCAUAUCUACGACAAUGAAAAAUCCCACUCCAUUGUUUAAGGCCUUGGUUGGUUGGGGUGGUUUGUCCCAGUCCUUAUAAAAUUUAAUACCAGGAAUUUGAUCGGUUUUCCUAAGGGCCUGGUAUUGACUCUUAAGCCCACACUCUCAUACAGGGUUCCUUUUCUCCCUGCUCACCUUAGAUUGUAACAAUCUUAUCUUUUAUAUCAUGUGGUUGCUUAAGUUCCCAUAUAAAUUUCUCAUCUGGAUUUCCAUUUAGUAGUUCCAGUACUUAUACCAUUUGUCCAUAGGAUGUUCCUUUCAUAAAGAGUCAUGCAUCUCCAAUUUACCUUAUGACCCACUUGCAGGUUGAUGCUGAGAGAGCUUAUCAUCAGAAUGCUGCUGAUAUUCUGAACAAACUUCACGACGAGGUACAUAACUGUUGCAAAAGAAAGAAAUGGAGAUUCUUACACCUGUUGGCUUAGAGGAAAUUCGAAUGCCAUAAACCUGGAAAAAGUGUGUAUGUUUAUGCUGAAUAUCACUCUGUUUUUGUUCUGCUAAUUUGCACAGAUGGUCCAAGCAAAACACCAUGAUGAGCCGGAAAACCAUUAUGAUGAGACAUCAUCAGAUCCUAAAACAGCUGCAACACAUGAGCAUUCACGUAGCACAUCCGAAGAUCACAUAUUUACUAAUACUAGUGAACCUACAAGGACUGAAACCAGUGAACCUACAAGGACUGAAACUAGUGAACCUACAAGGAAUGGUCAGGAAGUGCAUUAUGUUGGAGAGGUAUGUGUGCCCUUUGCACUGCUGCUCAUAAUGAUCAUACCAGAACUUAUAAUGUGUCACCAACUCACAACAUCACUGUCUUUCAUUUAAUUGCAGUGCAGUAUAAAAUGUUAGACCUUAGCUUGUAUUACUGGCAUUGUAUCUGUGCUAUCUGUUUAUGAGAUGUUUUAGACAUAGAUACACCCUCUUACAAAUAUGGUACUUCGACUGAAUUUUAUGUCCACAUGAUAUAUAUAAAGCGGUUUGAUUCUGCAGCCACCUUAGAAGUUAAAAUUUCGAUAGCAUGAGCAAUACAUAUGUGAUUUUUUAGAGCUACUUUUUUUUUAACUUUUUAGGAAUGGAAUUUAGAGCUACUGUUGGUAAAGAUGGUAGUCUGAAAUCAUGUGAAUUUAAAUUCAAAAGGUGCAACUUGAACAUACCGGUGUUUCUUCAACAUAACCUUUUACCUUAAUCUUUACAUUUCACUUUAUUCCUCUUUACACCUGGUAAAUACUAUCACCGAAUGUCGGUAUGGAAGUCACCUGGUAAAAAGAAGCAAACAUAUACAGGCAAAGGAUAAUCAGUAUAUGCCAAAAUUACUAGUUCAACAAUUUUAGCAGUUACACAAUCAGUAAAACAGAUCAGCACAUUAUUAUACAAGCUGAGCAGUUUGUGAAUUACUCAUUGGUCAGGUAAUCCAUCCAUUCGAUGCUCAGGCUGAUGGCGAGCUCAGUAUUUCCGUGGGAGAUUAUGUUGUGGUCCGGCAGGUAUACAUGGUUUUUGCAGGUUUUAUUCAUGCCAUGGGGUAACUAAUGACCAAAAUUCUGAAGUAAAGAACCAUGUACUGUAUAAUUCACUGCGGUAGCAUCCUAGUGUAUACAUCUGUGACCGCUGCAGGACUAUGAUCAGAUGCAGUGCAAGCAUAUAAUUGUCCCCUUGUUAUAUUUUUAAUUCUCCAAGGGUGACCAGGGGGGACCAGAAUGCUAACUAAGCAUUCCUUGUCUGUCUUCACAGGUGGCUCCCAAUGGGUGGUCUGAAGGGGAAUGCAAAGGAAAAGCUGGCUGGUUCCCAUCUGCCUAUGUGGAGCAGAGGGACAAAGCCCCGGCAAGUAAGGUGAUAGAGCCUGGAUUGCUGACUACUUAAUCUCUCUCAUACUAAUAGUUGCUUUCAUCGCCCUGUUUCCCCUGUACAUGGGGUUUUUCUUGAGUGAAUAGCAUUUUGUAGAACUUCUACCUUUCUGUGCAUAUUCAUGUGCUUCUAGGCUUGCUGUUACCCAAUAAUUGUAUGUAAAAUUUAUUGUUUUGCCUUUAGCAUCUCGUUUUCUCUUUCUUUCACAAUGUAUAGAGCUAUUGGUCCUGGGAUGCUGUAACCUUCCCUUUCUUUUGUGGAAAGCGUGCUUCCUGCCAAAAUUGUGAGAUGGAUUUCAGAACAGUCUCACUGGCCUUGUUCCUUCACUUUUGGACCCAAAAGCUCGUAAUCUACUUCCCUCCAAACUCUAUUUACUCUUCUUUUUUCUGUUCUUAUCAAAACAGCAAAGCAAAGGACGGAUUGCAGCAUUCGGUAUGUCUGAUUGGGUAGAAGAAGAAGGCAUGGUUGCUGGAUUCCUGGAUCCAACUUUAUCUGAAACCCUGAACCUUAACGGGAACAGGAGCACUUGUUUGAUUGCUCCCCUCCUCUCAUCAUUUCACUGCCCACAAAGUUAAUUUGCCACUUUUACCUACUUUUGGCUCUGCGGAUGCUGAAUUUAUGGGGCCAAGCCCUGACGCCUCUUCCGUUGCCGGUCCGCUUCGCGGAAUCGCGGUAGCCUGGCCAUGAGCGCGCCACCACCGCCGCCUCGCUUCUUGCCGCGACACGCACAUGGAGCUCGGAAAGCUCGCGUUUCCCAAGCCCCGCGCGAUGAGUGCAACGUAGCCCGGAUUGAUUCGCGACGUUAGCCCGUAGCACGUUGCGCGCACCAGCGGCGGCAGGACUGGAUUUUUCACAUUUUGGUCCUUUUGAAAAACUUAUUUCGCAAAUAGACCCCUGAAAAAACUUAUCCCAGAAAUGGUCCUUUUUGGGACGCCAGAGUGGCUGGCGCCGUCAUCCAACGGGACGGUGCCAGCCUCUCUGGCGCCGUCCUCCUGCCACCGUGGCGCACGCGAACCGACGUGGCAGGAGGAGGGCGCCAGCAUGGCUGGCGCCGCCGCCUCUAUUCCUGUUUCUCUGUAUGGAGUUGCAACGGUGUCAUUUUUAUUUUAUUUUUUUGAUGUUUUUUCACACUCAGGAUCACGAUACAACCAACCACAAAAAAAAAUUAAACUCGAACUACCACUUAGCUAAGUUUGAAAAUAUUUAGCAUACCACUUAGUCUACUUUGCACCUUCACUAAAAUUAGACCAUAACUCUUUUAGUAAAACUCUUUGAUCAGCAUGUUAAACAUAAUGCACUCUACCACUAUAUGAAAUUACUUAAUCUAAUUCAAAAUAUAACCACAUGAAAUGAGAUAUAUAAGUUAAACAGUACAUAGAGAUGUAAUUUUUUUAUUUUUAUUUCAUUUUUUUUGAUAUUUUUUUCACACUUAGGAGAACAUAGAAACCAACCGUAUAAAAAAUAAACUCAAACGGACAAAAUAUGUGACAUGUAGAAUUUUCCAAAACUCUACCGAAACGGACAAAAUAUGUCAUCUAUUAAAAUAGGCGUAACUUUCUCAUACGGACUCGGAAUCAGGCAAAUAAUAUAUGCACGGACAUCUACAGAAAAAGUUACAUCCGAUUCUCCCCAGCUUUGCCGGGUUCGGCGAUAUUAAAACCUCCAAAUUCCGCUUGCAAGAUUGUGUUUUCGAGGAGAGAAGUUUUUCGGUGGAGCUUUGGAAAAUUCCACAUGCCACAUAUUUCGUCCGUUUGAGUUUAUUUUUUACAUGGUUGGUUCCUGUGAGUUCCUAAGUGUGAAGAAAAUAUCAAAAAAAUAAAAUAAAAAUAAAAAAGUUGCACAUCUCUCUCCUCUGCACUAGUUCGGAGAGAGGAGAGGAGAGGAAAAAUUCUACAUGUCACAUAUUACGUCCAUUUGAGUUCAAUUUUUCUAUGAUUGGUUCUUGUGUGUCCCUAAGCGUGAAAAAAAAUAUCAAACAAAUAAAACAAAAAUAAAAAAUUUCGGGGGGGGCGCCAGCCACUCUGGCGCACUCCCCCUAGCCACCUCAGCAUCGCCCCGCCACGUCGGCAGGGGGACGGCGCCAAAGAGGCUGGCGCCGUCCUGUUGAACGACGGCGCCAGCCACUCUAGCGCCCCAAAAAGGACCAUUUUUGGGAUAAGUUUUUCUAGGGGUCUACUUGCGAAAUAAGUUUUUAAAAGGACCAAAAUGUGAAAAAUCCAGGCGGCAGGAUGGGUCUUCGGUGCGUCGUGCGCAAGGGGCGGCGUGUAUGGGUGGUGGUGUCCACCGGAUUGAUUGCGUGCGCUUCGCCUCACCGGUCUUGGGCUGCUGGGUCCUCGUGCAGUUAUGGCGCGGCUCGCCUCAUCGCCCGUGUUCCGCCGAUCGCUUUGGGGGGCAAGGUAGCAGAGAUGGAAGAGAGAGAAAAUGAUGCGUGCCGGAGACUUGCCAGUGUUUACCGUUCGUCUGUCUGCCUGCCUGCCUGCCUGGGUGGGUUUAACCCCUAGACUAGUAUCUUCUUUUGGCUAAAUUUUCAGGACAUGUACUAAACUACCACGUGAUUUUAACAUUAGUGAAGCAGCUAGGGACUAGGGAGAGAAAGCAUCAACCAACAAUCGACAACGAAAGAUUGAGGCCAUGUCUUAGUUCACAUCAAACUUCUGCCUGACUCUCAACUUUUCAUCACAUCACAUCCAAAACUUUCCUACACAUAUAAAUUCUCAAUUUUUUUUCAAACUAUCAACUUUCCUUAAACUUUUUUUUCAAUUUCAAAAACUAAACACAGCGUGAGAAGCUUCAACGGUAGCAGGAGUACAGUAAAACGGGAGCAGUGGUGUGGAAGGGUGAAAAAACAGGCGGUUUGGCCUGGCCGAUGGGAGGAAGGGUCACAUCGAGAGCAGAGGACACCGGGUAUGAGACAGCACAGCUCAGCAACCUCUGGGUCGCCUCGUUGGUCAGAGCUCCGGGCCCGCCACCAGCGACCCGUCGUCCUGCUUCACUAGGCUUUGUAUAAUUGUACCCGUAGGUGCUGCACAAUCAAUACUUUACCUAAUACCUAAAUACUCUACCAAUACGAUACGCCGCUUAGCUCAACUGAACAUCUUCAGUAUCAUGGAGAAGUCGACACCGCGUGUAGUUUCCAGUGACAGACUGACAUGCUCUAUCUAGUUUAAAGCUGAUAUUCUGUAGAAAUUUUGUCCUAAUCGCAGGUCCAAAUAGCUCAAAUUGAAACAAAACAAUUGGCUCAAUUAUCUAUCUUGAGGUCUAUGCCGACCUAACAAAAUGUACUGCUCCUAACCAACAUAUAUUGACAAGCUGCAAUAACUCGGCCUACCUUCGCCUAUUUGGAAGUUGAGAGCACAGGGAGGGCCGAUAGGAAAGAGAGAAAAACACUGUAGUUUAUCAUCUGAUUGUUCAGAAUUUAAUUCGUCCCAAAGGCUAAGCACGGUCCGGCAUGGGAAUCUAUCGCUGUCCCGUCCCAAUUGGCACGUCAUUUUCACUCAGCAUGCCACACAAGUACCGCUACGACGCAAAGGCACGCACACCUAAUAACCAAUAAAUGUGAACGAAAAAGAGAAGGAAAGGAAAAGAAAAAACGGGCGAAGAAGAAGAAAAACGUAAAAGCAGCUUGCGGUGCGAGGCAAAAGCUAGUAGACGAGGCGGGGGUGAUUAGCUGUUCGUCCCGUGUCCCGUUGCUCGCCCACGCCACGCCGCACGCGGACAAAACCGCAUUCUCUCUCUCUCACUACACUCCUCCCCCACACUCUCCUCUCCUCUCUCCCUCUCGCAGCCACAGCACAGCGCAGCACUGGCCGCCUAAUCUCUCCGCACUCUCUCCCCUCGCCGCUCCCUCCACUGCCGCUUCGUCUCGGCCGACGACCUCGUCGUCGUCGUCGUCGUCGUCCUCGUGUUCGCCGGUCGCCGCGCCGACGCGGAUCGCCGUGCCGCUGUCCAGUGCGAGAGCGCAGGCAGGCAGGCAGGCGCAGGUAAAAACCUUGCCCCCGCUCCCCGUCCUCGCGCCGGAUCUGCCGCCGAUUCGUGCGGCCGCGGUGAGCCCGUGCGUCGCGUCAGCUUGUGUGUUGCUGAGUGGUGAACUGGUGAUGCCGCGGCAGCGGGCGCUCAAAACUGGUGUGCUCGGUUUCGUGUCGGUAGCGUCGCGGGGGCUUGUGGGUUGGGUUGUGGCUGUACCCUACUUUUUGCUUAGUGGCGUCGGCGGCGGCAGUUGCGACGGCUUUAACUCUGGAUGACUGGAUGCGUGCUUGCGUUUUGGCGGUUGCGAGCUGGAAUUAGUAACUGCUUUGUUGUUUCUUCGGCUAACUAAGUUGGUCCUUUUUUUUUUCUUUUUAAGAAGUAACUGAAAGAUGUUGAUUUACAGUAAUUGGGGUGACUAAAUUGUUUUCGAAAUUAACCGCUGUCUAAAUUGUUUUUGUUAGAAUUUUUGGGGAAAUUUCAAAUUGCAGGUUCUAGGUAAUUCAAAUACCAUUAAACAAUUUUGUGGAAGCACAUAAUUUUUUUUAUUAAUAAAUUGUCAUGUUUUGGUUCUUAUGGUCGUCCAUUUUGCUAAAGAGGAGCCAUGAGUGUGUCACAAUGUACUGCAUUUGAUCUGCAUAUCUGAUUGUUGCUCUGUUUAUUUGAUAACUUUGCAUGAUUGCUGAUAUGUUCCUGUUUUCACUUACAGUGCCAGCAAUUUGCCUCCCUCACCAGGGGCACAUCUACAUGUGGAGUUCAUUCCCAUAAAAGAGGAUGCACAUGGUAUACCUCACCCAUGACCUCUGUAAUAAGCUGCGGUGAUCUUUAUAUGCUUCACCAACUGGUGAAAAAUGGGCUCUUUUCUGAGAAAACAGCCCAGUUUCCUCUUAAUUUUGUUAAUUCUGCACCUUGGUGCUCGUGAAGCAAGAGCACUAAGUUCAGAUGGUAUGUGACAUUUCAUAGUUAUGGUUGGUAUUUGUGUGCUACAUUUGACAAUCUGUGCUCAUUUAUUAUGAUUCUUUUGACGGUUUCCUACAGGUGAAGCACUUCUUGCCUUCAAGAAGGCAGUUACAACUUCUGAUGGGAUAUUUCUCAACUGGCGUGAACAAGAUGUGGAUCCUUGCAAUUGGAAGGGUGUUGGAUGUGACUCUCACACCAAGAGAGUAGUUUGUCUGUAAGACCAAAAUAAACCCUACAUAAAUAUUGUGAAAUGCUUAGAAUUUCAACCUGGCUAUUAUUUUGCUUCAGUAAUAUGGUUUUCGUUUUUAAGAUGGCAUUUUCUAAUAGGAAGGGAAUGAUAACUUCAUAGCUUCCAUUGUUAUAAAUAUAUCUGACCACCAAUAUCUUUUGUUUAGGAUUCUUGCAUAUCACAAGUUAGUUGGGCCCAUACCUCCAGAAAUUGGAAGGUUAAAUCAGUUGCAAGCUCUGUAAGUGUGUGUUGAUAGCGUUCUUUGCUUAACCUCUUUCUUUUCAGCAUCUGAAAUUACUAUUUUAUGUCAUUAGAUCACUGCAAGGGAAUAGCUUGUAUGGCUCACUCCCUCCAGAAUUGGGAAAUUGUACCAAGUUACAACAACUGUAAGUUUCUAAGUAUUACUGUUUUUCCAGCAUUUGUAACACCAUGUCUUGCAAAAAACUAUUCAUAACAUUCAUACUGUUAUGCAAUUUUAAUUGAUGCAACUUUUUACGUUUUGUGUUCUGACUUGUGAGAUGACCAGCAGGUAUCUACAAGGAAAUUAUUUAAGUGGGCAUAUCCCUUCAGAGUUUGGUGAUCUGGUGGAACUUGGUACACUGUAAGUUUUGGGUGGAGUUUCUGGUUGCUUUUUUUAAUCAUUUAUUACCUCAAUCAACCAAUGUCUUUCCUGGCUGUCCAUUUCACAUCAGACUGAUCUCCCCUGUCUGAUUAGUUCAAUCUAUGCAUCAGAAACGUACCAUUUCACUGAAACAAUCAACACAAAAGUUCUGAUAUAAAAAUUAAGUGCACUGGAUUGCAAAUGAAUUCGUUUGUCAAUUUAGAGGAUUACUCAUAUUUCUGGAAUAUGUUUUUCCCCUUCAGGGACUUAUCCAGCAAUACGUUGAGCGGAUCGAUUCCACCCUCUCUUGAUAAGCUGGCCAAGCUUACAUCAUUGUGAGUGUUUUUUAUCUUGAUAAAUCCAUUGAAUUUUUAUGCUAACUUUGUGCGGCAAAUUAAAUAAGAAAUUUCACCUGUGCAGCAAUGUUUCCAUGAAUUUCCUGACAGGAGCAAUACCAUCUGAUGGUUCACUUGUGAAUUUUAAUGAAACUUCGUGAGUUAUCUUCUCUAUGUUGUUUAUUCUUGUCUAAUUCAAUAUGUAUAUUUGAGCAAGUAGAGUGGGGGAUGUCAUGUGAUAGAGUGCUUUUGUUUACCUCUUCAUGAUGCGCUACACUACAUCACACUUGUAAUAUAUCAUAUGAUUUUGCAUGUUGCAAUGCAGCUUCAUCGGGAACCGUGGUUUAUGUGGGAAGCAGAUUAACUCGGUGUGCAAAGAUGCACUUCAGUCACCAUCAAAUGGCCCUCUGCCACCUUCCGCAGGUACCAGAUGUUUCUAAAACUGUCUACAUACCUUUUUUUCAUGCUUCAAACAUUUUUUGUAAAUAGUUAAAUGGUUAGCAAGAUUUCAAUGUUUGUAUUUAAUAUUUAUCCAUCAAUAUCAAUCAUCAGUAUCAGUUGCUUUUAUAUUUGACUAGGAAAUAUACUUCUGGCAGUUUGGGGUUCUGUAAAGUGUAAAUUGAUCCCUUUCUUUUCAGUUCCUUUCAUGAACCUAUGACUUAUGUUCUUCUGAUUAUCAUAUGGCAGACGACUUCAUCAAUAGAAGAAACGGGAAGAAUUCUACCAGACUUGUUAUAAGUGCAGUAGCAACAGUAGGAGCUCUUCUGUUGGUCGCUUUGAUGUGUUUCUGGGGUUGCUUUCUGUACAAAAAUUUUGGAAAGAAAGAUAUUCAUGGUUUCAGGGUGGAGCUAUGUGGAGGUAACCAUGUCAUUGAAUAUGCUAUGUGAAUCAUCUUCAAUUUAUGCGGUCCUUAUAAUCUUGCUUGUUUUCUUUUAGGCUCUUCCAUUGUGAUGUUCCACGGGGACCUCCCUUACUCCACUAAAGAAAUCCUCAAGAAACUAGAGACCAUGGAUGAUGAGAAUAUCAUUGGAGUAGGGGGCUUCGGGACGGUUUAUAAACUUGCAAUGGAUGACGGUAAUGUUUUUGCAUUGAAAAGGAUAAUGAAAACAAAUGAAGGGCUUGGUCAGUUCUUUGAUAGAGAACUUGAGAUACUGGGAAGUGUUAAGCAUCGUUAUUUGGUCAAUCUCCGUGGCUAUUGCAAUUCUCCCUCAUCAAAGCUAUUGAUAUAUGACUAUCUUCCAGGUGGAAACCUAGAUGAGGUGCUACAUGGUGAGCAUGUUCAGUUUUCUACUUCCUAUUUAUUUUAUUUGUAUUGCAUUCUUCCAAUUGUUAACAGUUUUAGUUUGUCUUCCUCAGUAAGGAGUUAAGUAUGUGUUCAAAGCCCAACAUUAAAUUAAGGUUUGAGGUGAUUCAGUUAAUGGAUAUGAAAGAACCUAGUGGUGAUGGUGGAGUCUGCCAUUCCACCACCACCUCUAGGGUUGGUGUUAUCUUCUAAGGGUGCAUAGAUACUUUUAUAUGUGUGGCUUGGCUAUCAGUGUGGAUUGAUGCUCUCUUGCAAAUUACAUAUUCUUCCAUGAGGAGUAUACAUAUAAUUUGAAUUUUAGAACAUAGGAUAGUAUAGUACUAUAGUUACAUUCAAUCUACCUAUUGGAAAGAGGUACAAGUACAACAAUAUCUUAAGGGGCAUACUAGCUAAUGUCAGCUAGACACAGAAUGCAAUAGCCAAGUGGGAGAUGAAGACUUUAGUAUGUGAAAAUUGUGCCACUGUGGGGGCAACAAAGUUGUUCAUUUUUAAGUUCUUGAUCGUCCCAUUUGGCUAUUUUGUGGCAUGUUCAGACCUCCAUGUGAAUUAGCAGCUACAGAUUCCACGAUGGAUAUUAUUUCUGCCUCUUGUAACAAAAAUGGAAUGCUACUUAGUAGUCGAUGGGCAUGGGACUUCAGCUAUUAUGUAGUACGAGUAGAGGGUUGUAUAUAACAUACUAGGACACAAGGACAGAAGAUGCUGUCUACUCAUGGUGAUUCCAAUUUUACAUUGGCAGCGAGUCUGAGAAUUAUACUUUAUUACUUUAAAUACAGACCUCUGUUCAUUCUUCAAUUACAUCUGGAUCUAAACAAUCGAGAUAAGAGUGAAAACCUUAACCAUGAUAUUACCAUUUAUAUUCCAUAUGCUUGUGGAAUAUAUGCAUUGAAUUUUAUAACAACGUAUAAUUAGGUCUUACAUUAGCAGACUUCACUAUUUUAUUUUUUAACAUCAAGUCCUAAUAUCUCAUCUAUCUUCAAUCUUGACAGAAAAAUCUGAACAGUUGGACUGGGAUGCACGUAUUAACAUAAUACUUGGAGCUGCAAAAGGCCUGGCUUAUUUGCAUCAUGAUUGUUCACCUCGAAUAAUACAUCGUGAUAUUAAAUCGAGCAACAUCUUACUAGACGGCAAUUUUGAGGCUCGUGUAUCAGACUUUGGACUCGCAAAGCUAUUAGAGGACGACAAAUCCCAUAUUACUACAAUAGUUGCAGGAACAUUUGGCUAUCUUGCACCAGGUAUGUUAAAACUGUUCUGUUUCAUUCAUUGUGGGAAAAUAACAGCAUAUAACAAAUGCUUACCACCUUAUUGCAUCUCUGGAUUUUAUUUAUCAAUAUAUAAUUUCAUAUGCUCUGAGCUAAUUUGCAAAAUUCAAAAUCCAGAGUAUAUGCAAAGUGGCAGAGCCACCGAAAAGACUGACGUCUACAGUUUUGGAGUUUUGCUACUUGAAAUACUAAGCGGAAAACGACCUACUGAUGCAUCAUUUAUUGAAAAGGGAUUGAACAUUGUUGGAUGGGUAUGUAUGACCUUUAUGUCCUUCCAUUUCAUAUCCACAGUUUUCUGAUAUGAAUUACGUAUGCCUUCAAUUGAUUUAAUGUAUUCUUGAAAUAAUCUACUUGCUCUGUGGCAGUUGAAUUUCCUGGUCGGUGAGAAUCGGGAGAGGGAAAUUGUCGAUCCAUAUUGUGAGGGAGUGCAGAUUGAGACCUUGGAUGCUCUACUUUCUCUUGCUAAACAAUGUGUAAGUUCUUUGCCAGAGGAGCGGCCUACAAUGCACAGGGUGGUACAGAUGUUGGAGUCGGAUGUAAUUACACCAUGCCCCAGUGAUUUCUACGAUUCAGAAUAGGCUUCGACUUACGGCUGCUCUUGAAAACGCCACACUGCCGCUGGUUUUCCUGUGGAGGCACAUUCCAUUUAUUCUUUGCAGAUUAUGUAAAUUCAUUCCUGCGGUGUUCGGCUCCAAUCGGCUAGCUCAAUGGGGAGGACAUUUUUGUGUCUAUGUAUCUAUGCUACGUACAAAUUAUUACUACUACAUGUCAAGUUAAUAAGAAACUUACCAGGAGAUUACUGUACUUGUAUUGAACUGUCAAUCUCGGAAGAAUGGAAAUGGUAGGGAUUAGGGAUGCCAAGUUUCCUGAAUCUCCAUGAGCUGCUGCUAGAUAUAUUAAUAUAUUUGAGUAUAACCAGCUGAAUUUCUCACGCAUUGUGCGUCUCGCGAUCGAGAAAAUAUGCACUUGGAGGCUUCACAUGUGCUAAUUUCUUAAGACAUAAGAAUAUAAGAUUCAUAUUUACACUAAUCAAGGUGAAGAAAAUUGACUAAGUAGAGUAGUAGUAGAACAUAAUAUAGUUCACUUUCAUAAUGAGACAACAGGUUUUACCGUUUUACAUAGCGGAGUAGUUCGAGCGGCAACAACACACUUGAAAGGAACCAGAGCACACCAAAAACACCAGUAAUUACACCUCACAUAAGUGAUCGAUACACUUGAAGCCACAGAUAAAUCGUUUUAGAUUAGCCCAAUGCUCUAGCCGGUGAUCUGGAUGGACUUGACGUCGGGCUUCUUGGGCUCCUCCUUGGGCACGGUGACGGUGAGCACGCCGUUCUCCAUGGACGCCUUGAUCUGCUCCGGCUUGGUGUUCUCCGGCAGCCGGAACCUGCGGAGGAACUUGCCGCUGCUGCGCUCCACGCGGUGCCACUUGUCCGUCUUCUCCUCCUGCUCCUUGAUGCGCUCGCCGCUGAUCUGGAGGACGUUGCCGUCCUCAACCUCCACCUUGACCUCCUCCUUCUUCAGCCCCGGCACGUCCGCCUUGAACACGUGCGCCUCGGGCGUCUCCUUCCAGUCGAUCCGCGCGCCGGCGAAGGCCGCCGCGUCGGAGUUGGCGCGAGGGAAGAGGCUGCCGCUGCCGGAGCCGAAGGGGAAGCCGUCGAAGGGGUCCCAGAGGUCGAGGGAGAAGGGGUCGAACACGUUGCUGCGGCGGAUCAUCGACAUCGUCGGAAUAGCUGCGAAUUUGGAGGUGGAACGAUCGGACUUCUCUGAGUUCUUACUCUGAUGUUUGCUUGGUUUGCUUUGCGUUUUCUUCGUGGUUCUGCCGGUGAAGGGGAGCGCGGUUUUAUAGAGGGCAGCGAGAGGGCAUCGUGGAGCUUGGAAUAAGCUUCUAGAAACUUCCAGUUUGCCCCCGCAUGGGCUAGAACCUAGUACGAGAUAGCUUGGGCUAGAAGUUUACACCACCGGUAGCGGGGUGGGCUGUAGCCCAUAGCGUCCAGGACUCUCCAGAAUAAUCUAGGCCAUAAGCAGGCCUAGAACAAUCCAGAAGACCACUUCCAAUUUCGGCCCAAAUUAACGAACAAACGAGAACUAUCCGGAAGCAAAACUUCCAGUAGAACCCAUGGACCAUCACGAACUGCUAUAUAAAUUGUUGCCACCACGCAGCGACAGGUGCCAAGGAAAUCAGCUCAUCGAUCGAAAGAUCAACAAGCUCUCUUGAGAAUUGAGAUCACCCUCUUUCCAUCUAGAACACAAACCAGACAACCAAAAAACAGCAAGACACAAUACACAAUGUCGCUGAUCCGCCGCAGCAACGUGUUCGACCCCUUCUCCCUCGACCUCUGGGACCCCUUCGACGGCUUCCCCUUCGGCUCCGGCAGCAGAAGCAGCGGCAGCAUCUUCCCGUCCUUCCCCCGCGGCACCUCCUCCGAGACCGCGGCCUUCGCCGGCGCGCGCAUCGACUGGAAGGAGAC